rnacentral:rRNA from 1 species
GACGAACGCUGGCGGCGUGCCUAAUACAUGCAAGUUGAGCGCUGAAGGUUGGUACUUGUACCGACUGGAUGAGCAGCGAACGGGUGAGUAACGCGUGGGGAAUCUGCCUUUGAGCGGGGGACAACAUUUGGAAACGAAUGCUAAUACCGCAUAAAAACUUUAAACACAAGUUUUAAGUUUGAAAGAUGCAAUUGCAUCACUCAAAGAUGAUCCCGCGUUGUAUUAGCUAGUUGGUGAGGUAAAGGCUCACCAAGGCGAUGAUACAUAGCCGACCUGAGAGGGUGAUCGGCCACAUUGGGACUGAGACACGGCCCAAACUCCUACGGGAGGCAGCAGUAGGGAAUCUUCGGCAAUGGACGAAAGUCUGACCGAGCAACGCCGCGUGAGUGAAGAAGGUUUUCGGAUCGUAAAACUCUGUUGGUAGAGAAGAACGUUGGUGAGAGUGGAAAGCUCAUCAAGUGACGGUAACUACCCAGAAAGGGACGGCUAACUACGUGCCAGCAGCCGCGGUAAUACGUAGGUCCCGAGCGUUGUCCGGAUUUAUUGGGCGUAAAGCGAGCGCAGGUGGUUUAUUAAGUCUGGUGUAAAAGGCAGUGGCUCAACCAUUGUAUGCAUUGGAAACUGGUAGACUUGAGUGCAGGAGAGGAGAGUGGAAUUCCAUGUGUAGCGGUGAAAUGCGUAGAUAUAUGGAGGAACACCGGUGGCGAAAGCGGCUCUCUGGCCUGUAACUGACACUGAGGCUCGAAAGCGUGGGGAGCGAACAGGAUUAGAUACCCUGGUAGUCCACGCCGUAACGAUGAGUGCUAGAUGUAGGGAGCUAUAAGUUCUCUGUAUCGCAGCUAACGCAAUAAGCACUCCGCCUGGGGAGUACGACCGCAAGGUUGAACUCAAGGAAUUGAC